rnacentral:lncRNA from 1 species
AGGAACUAUGUGUGCCCGGGGGAGGCUGGCAGCAGCAGGCACCAUAUGGCUGCCAUGGAGGCGGUCUUUUGGGGAGAAGGGAAAUCUUGGAGAAGCUCUACAGGCUGGAUGGAACUCCCCAACCCUGAAGAGGAAGCUCUUGUCUGGCACUUGCCUGUAGCUGUCUCAGUGGUCACAGCUCCUUCGAAGAGACUUCAUGUGGCCAAGAGGACAGUUUUUCACCCAGCAUUGGGGACUCGGUCUUAUGCUGGCAGCAGUGACUUCAUGGGUGUGGUGGCCAUGUCGGAUCCAGAAGACGCCGCUUCAGCCUUCACCAUCCAAUUCUUGCAUUCUUUCCUCUGCUUCUUCUGUGCUGUUCCCAGAGCCUCAGAGGGAGCGACAUAGAUGUCUAAUUUAGGGCUUAGAGCCCACCAGUCACUUGCUCUCCACACUUGGAUCAGCUGUGAGUGUCGCCCUGACUGCCAGCUACUGGGAGCAGAGUGUUCCUUUAAGCGGCUCUAAAUAAUUUCCUUUUGACUUGCAGAUAUGAUUAGUUCCCUUCACAAAUCCUUCCUUUGGAAGAGGGGAGGUGUACGGCCAAAGUUUACUUGUCUGAAUUACUUCUUAUUCCAAAAGAGUAGGUUCCAAAUCAACGUUGCUGACUGCUCUAUUCAGUCAGCUCAAGGACGGCCAGUAGGUUAACAAAAAUCAAUGAGGAGUGAGCCUCAGAAGUGUCAGAGAAGGGCAAACAUAUUUGAC